CUGGAGGUAUCAGAAGUGCGAAUGCUGACAUAAGUAACGAUAAAGCGGGUGAAAAGCCCGCUCGCCGGAAGACCAAGGGUUCCUGUCCAACGUUAAUCGGGGCAGGGUGAGUCGACCCCUAAGGCGAGGCCGAAAGGCGUAGUCGAUGGGAAACGGGUUAAUAUUCCCGUACUUGGUGUUACUGCGAAGGGGGGACGGAGAAGGCUAUGUUGGCCGGGCGACGGUUGUCCCGGUUUAAGCGUGUAGGUGUGUGUUCCAGGUAAAUCCGGUUCACUUUAACACUGAGGCGUGACGACGAGGCACUACGGUGCUGAAGCAACAAAUGCCCUGCUUCCAGGAAAAGCCUCUAAGCAUCAGGUAACAUCAAAUCGUACCCCAAACCGACACAGGUGGUCAGGUAGAGAAUACCAAGGCGCUUGAGAGAACUCGGGUGAAGGAACUAGGCAAAAUGGUGCCGUAACUUCGGGAGAAGGCACGCUGACACGUAGGUGAAGUGAUUUACUCAUGGAGCUGAAGUCAGUCGAAGAUACCA
rnacentral:rRNA from 1 species